GUAUUUUCUGAAAAGGUGGAUUGCUGCUUCAAAGGACCUGGACCCAGAGGCCCUGUCCAUGAAUGUUUCUUGCUUGGUUCCGAGGCCACCAAACAUACUGGCUGAGCCUUCUGUAUUCACCCUGGCCUAUCAAUGCCAUCUAUGAGAGCAGCCACACUGAGAGAGCAGCAGCAUGGAGCCUACUCAAGGGUUUGUUUCAAAAAUAUAUGGAAAACAAGAAAAACCAAAAGAGGAAACCAUUUCUAAUGAGGAGACUAGUUCAAUUAUUCUGAAGUCAAGCCCUGCUAAUCAAGGAGUUGGACCGACUGUGACAUUUGGGGAAGCCCCACAGAACAGGAUGGGAUCUUUUAUGAAGAAAUGGAUUGGGAAGAAAAACAUAAGAUAAGGUUGGAACCUCUUCUGGUGCAAGAAGGUCCUAAAUAUUACUGAGGAUCUCUCAUCUUCUAGGUGAAGCUCACAAAAUUGCCCUGGAGGUUGCUGCCUUCCUGGAAGCCAGAGUGAAAAAAAAAAAGAGGACAUGCAGUUGCACAUGGGAGGAUUUUGUGGGCCAUGGUUAUCAGGGCACAAUCCCUUAGCUCACCUUUCUCUGGUGAGAAAACACUUCCAGUGCCACACCUCAGUCUCCUCCCUCUGGUGAAAAAAACACUUCCAGUGCCACACCUCAGCCUCCUUCCUCUGGUGAAAAAACAGUUCCAGUGCCAUACCUCAGCCUUUCCUCUGGUAAAAAACACUUCCAGUGCCACACCUCAGCCUCCCUCCUCUGGUGAAAAAACACUUCCAGUGCUACACCUCAGCCUCCUUCCUCUGGUGAAAAAAUACUUCCAGAGCCACACCUUACCCUCCUUCCUCUGGUGAGAAACUACUUCCAGUGCCACACCUCAGCCUCCUUCCUCUGGUGACAAAACACUUCCAGUGCCACAACUCAGCCUCCUUCGACUGGUGAGAAAACACUUCCAGUGCCACACCUCAGCCUCCUUCCUCUGCUGAGAAAACACUUCCAGUGCCACAGCUCAGCCUCCUUCCUCUGGUCACAAAACACUUCCAGUACUACACAUCACUGCUGGAGAACUGGAGAGUGGAGUCUUCCAGCCCAAGAAGAAAGAAAUAUAGGAUUUUGUCAAGUACCAGAAGUUUCUGCCACACUCAGUGGGCAUUCUUUGAGUUAGUUUUUUUAGUAUAUUUCACUAAAAACUGUGAGAGAGGAACCCUUAAUAUAGGUCCUGCAAAAAACAAGUAUUCAAUAAAUCCUGUUGAAUCAAUAAAUGAAUCACCUCUUCCAAAAUAAGCUUAAUUGUUUAAGUUACUAGCAAAAUGCCUAAAUGAAAAUUAACCAUUCUAUAGAGACAUUAUUGAGUUAGUUCAUUCAGCCAUUCAAUAAAUGUAUUCAGUGUAUGUUUAUAGAAUAACUAUAAUUUACCAACUGUUUUAGGCAUGGGGGGUACAGCAGUGAAUAAAAUCAUCCAACUACCUAUUCUAACAGAGAUUAAAUUCUAGUGGUACAAGCAGCAGACGAACAAAUGAAUAAUUUCAUAUAUUCAUCCAUGCAAUAAUAUUGAAAAUUUUAUUUUCAAUAAAUAAUCAGUGGUCCUCAACCUUUUCGGCAUCAGGGAACAAUUUUGUGGAAAACAAUUUUUCUACAAACGGGUGGGAGAAUGGUUUCAGGAUGAUUCAAGCACAUUACCUUUAUUGUGCACUUUAUUUCUAUUAUUACUGCAUUGUAAUAUAUAAUGAAAUAAUUAUACAACUCAUCAUAAUGUAGAAUCAGUGGGAGCCCUGAGCUUGUUUUCCUGCAACUAGACAGUUCCAUCUGGGGGGAAUGAGAGACAGUGACAGAUCAUCAGGUAUUAGAUUCUCAUAAGGAGCAUGCAACCUAGAUCCUUUGCAUGUGCAGUUCACAACAGGAUUCAUGCUUCUAUGAGAAUCUAAUGCCACCACUGAUCUGACAAGAGGUGGAGCUCAGGAGGCAAAGCUCACUCACCUCCUGCUGGGCUACUUGGUUCCUAACAGGCCAUGGACCAGUACUGGUCCAUGACCUGAGGGUUGGGGACCACUGACUUAGAUUCUAGUGGAAAAAGAUGGGCUGUAAACAAACUAUGUAAGAAAAUAAUACAAGCAUAUUAGUGGGCCAGCUGUAGCAUGGUGGGAAAACAGGGCCAUGAGGAAAUGAACAAGCCCAUUUUACCAGCUGGGGUCAGGAAUAAUAAUGAUGUGGAGUCCCUUGAGUAUGGGGGAGCUACAGAAAGCAGAAACUGAACCAGGCUCUGGCCAGGGGACCCAUGUGCUGCGGCAGUGCUAGGAACCUGCACAACUCAGCCCAUAGCCCAGUUGAAUUAGCCCAUGCUGGCACCCACAUCUUGCUUGGGCACUGUCUCACGGUUUGACACUGGAGAUGGGUAUGAAGCCCUCUACUGGAUUAAUAAAACAAAUAAUACCUUUGUUCACAAGAUGAUCUUAAGAAGAACAGCAGAUGAGGACCCUGUAAAAUUUUAUUUUCCAGCAGAGAGGGUACAGAAGCUGAUUUUGUGAUUGAUUGGAAUGGGACAGCAGUGAGGAGCCACCAUUUUGCUCACAGAUGAAAGAUCACCCAUUGUAAGAGGCUGCCUGAAGAGAAAACAAGGUGUGUGU